CACGUAGGGUGCGAGCGUUGUCCGGAAUUAUUGGGCGUAAAGAGCUCGUAGGCGGUUCGUCGCGUCGGCUGUGAAACCACGGAGCUCAACUCCGGGCCUGCAGUCGAUACGGGCGGACUUGAGUGUUGCAGGGGAGACUGGAAUUCCUGGUGUAGCGGUGAAAUGCGCAGAUAUCAGGAGGAACACCGGUGGCGAAGGCGGGUCUCUGGGCAACUACUGACGCUGAGGAGCGAAAGCGUGGGGAGCGAACAGG
rnacentral:rRNA from 1 species